GGAUAAACCCUGUGCGUAUCCGGUUCCAGGUGUUCUUGUUGUUUGCAGUUCUUUGCAUGGUAGCCAAAGGAGCGUUCCGGUAGCAGUCACCGGUUGGCCAGAGCUUCCUUCCUUGGUCCGUCGCCACAGCUAGCAAGGUGAAGUGUGUUUAGGGUCGUGCAUGGGUGAUGGUACCAACCAUCUUCUUCACGGUGGCGGCUUGGUGAUUCUUUUGGUUGUCGUUUGCGACGCGGUGGUGGUUCUAGGUUCUCCGUGAUGGCGAAGUUGGCAGUGGCCUGCUGAAGUGAUGAUGAUGGUUGCGCGAUGGUGGAUGGUGGUCUGCGAGGAAGAAGACUCGCGACGACAAUUUGGACUGGUGCUUGCUCACAGAAGAUUGGGUGGUGGCGUGAAGCUUCGUGAUGGUCGGCGAGCACGCCGGCGACGGUGGCUGGCAGCGGCUUGAAGGUUGACGGUGGUGGCUUUAGGGUGGCUGACGGCUAUGGGUGUUGAGCGGCGGCAUGGUGGUGAGAAACAUGGUCGCAGAUGAUGGAGGCGCUGUGCGACGGCUUGCUGGUGGUGCGCGAUGUGGCUGCCAUGGAGGAGGCGGCGGCUAGGGUUUGGCAAGAGAAUUAGG
rnacentral:lncRNA from 1 species